CACCUUGAAUGAGUCUGUAAUUCCUACUGCACAUCUCACCGCUGUCACGCUAUUCUUGUAUAUGUCCUGCACUACUCUAACAUACUACUUGUUUUCUAAAACCA